CCUACGGGCGGCAGCAGUGGGGAAUAUUGGGCAAUGGGCGCAAGCCUGACCCAGCAACGCCGCGUGAAGGAAGAAGGCUUUCGGGUUGUAAACUUCUUUCCUGGUGGGCGAACAAAUGACGGUACCCCAGGAAUAAGCCACGGCUAACUACGUGCCAGCAGCCGCUGUAAUACGUAGGUGGCACGCUUUAUCCGGAUUUAUUUGGUGUAAAGGGCGUGUAGGCGGGAAUGCAAGUCAGAUGUGAAAACUCAGGGCUCAACCCUGAGCCUGCAUUUGAAACUGUGUUUCUUGAGUGCUGGAGAGGCAAUCGGAAUGCCGUGUGUAGCGGUGAAAUGCGUAGAUAUACGGAGGAACACCAGUGGCGAAGGCGGAUUGCUGGACAGUAACUGACGCUGAGGCGCGAAAGCGUGGGGAGCAAACAGGAUUAGAUACCCCUGUAGUC
rnacentral:rRNA from 1 species